ensembl:lncRNA
GCAAAAUCCUCAGCGAGAGCCAGCUGAUCACAAAUGCCAACUGUGUGUCUUGGGGCCAGUUAAGUCCUCUCAUCUGCCCCAGCUCUCAGGAGACCAUUUCAUUGCUCUCAAGGUUCCCAGGAGACCGCUGCGGACACGGACCAUCCUCUACUUGGCCCGCAAGGAUGGGUUGCUGAGCGGAAUCCCAAAAGCGCUCUUUCUCACCUCGAAUUUUCAUUUUUAGAUUGUAAAAAAUCCGAAUUUGGAGACAGGCAGAUAUUUUUCACACAUCAAAAAGCAGGACCAUCAGCUAGGUGAUUAGCCCCAGGUGGGAAAUGAGCCAUCUCUAAUGAGAAUACUGACUUUUUGAAGAAGUCUGUGGAAGUUCUGAAGUCCUACCCCAGCCCCAUGACCUUUCGUUCGUUUAGUUCUUCUGCCACAGGGAAGCAGCCAGCGACUAAUGAAAGAUUUGAUCUUGCAAUAAUUUCCCAAGCAGAUGUGGGUAAGGAGAGUAAUGACAAGGAGGAGGUUCCAAGAGGUCAUAGCCUGGGGCUACAGAGAAGAAAUGACAAGACUAGAAAGGAUUCCCAGUCGUGGCAGUGAGUAAGACAUUGAGAAGUAUGCGCAGAAAGAGAAAGGUCAAAAAGCCUGAGAAAAGGUGACUGAAGCCAGAAGAUGGAGCCAAGUUGGAAUCUAGAAACAAUUACCCCCAUUCCAGCUUCCACUAGAGCAAGCAUCACGGUUCAAGAGCAUCUUGGAACCACAGACAGUGUAGUCUGUAUUGAGUGAACAAUGUAUGUGGUCUUCAUUGGUGUGUUAUUAGCCAUUCCUCUUGUCCCCAUUGAUCCUGCUCCUCCAGGCUAUUCUCAACAUGGCAGGCACUGUGAUGCUUUCAGAUCAUAUCAUUCCUCUGCCUAAAUAUCCUGUGGCUUUCCAUCUUACUUAGAGUAAAUCCAAAGUCCUCCGCCACCCUCUUUGACAUCAACUAAUCUCCCUUUCACUUAUUUUCUCCACCUACACUGGUCAGUUCACUGUUCUAGGCACACUCUCCCCUCAGGGUUUUUGCACAAGCUGGCCCCUUUGUCUGAAAGACUUUUCUACCAUAUCUUACUAUGGUUCACCCCUUCAUUAUCCUCAGAUUAUUAUUCAUAUAUCACAUUCUCAUUGAGGACUUCCUAGUCAGUUUGUCUAAAAGUUCAAACUCCACCCCCUGACCUUCAUACACACAUGUAUUUUCUAUUCCCAUUCCAUGCCUUAUUUUUCUCCUUAGGACGUUUCCUUUAGCUGCUUAUUUCAUACUUUGCUAUGUUGUUUGUUUUUUGUCUCUCUUACUAAAAUGUAAGUGUCAUGAGAGCAAGAAUUUUCAUUCGCUUAUUCACUAUGUAUCCCCAGCUCCUAGAAGCAGGACUGGCUAUGUAAUUUAUGGGGCCCAGUGCAGAAUGAAAGUUCAGGGCCCCAUAUUCAAAAGCUGUUCAGAAUAUCAAAGCAGCGACAGCAGAGCAUUAAAUAAGUACUGCGCCCUGAGUGACUGCAGAGGUUGCAAGGUUAUGAAAUUGGCCCUGUCUAGAACUUCCCUCAUAAAGCAACCAACCCACUACACGUUGAUUUUCCAGCAGGCAAGACAUUGUUGUUCCACCUUUUUCUAAUACAGCCUUUGAGGACAAUCCCCAAGUUGUCAACAUCCUAAGACACUCAUAAGUCCCCGUGACAGAAGAUGGACCAUUGAAUGUCUAGAGAUGUGGCAGUAAAAUAAGGAGCUUCCUAUACAGCCUCCUCACAUUUUGAGGAUUAAAAGAAUCAUCGUGCAAUUUCUUCCACGUAUAAGACUAAUUGGUACAUUGACAAUAAGAGUCUCUCUUGCGUUUUCAAAGACAGCAAAAACGUUCUCAGAUGAAAUAAUUGCUGCAAGAAAUCUAAAUUUAUUCGUGU